UACGGAGGGUGCAAGCGUUAUCCGGAUUUACUGGGUUUAAAGGGUGCGUAGGCGGGGAGGUAAGUCAGUGGUGAAAUCUCCGAGCUUAACUCGGAAACUGCCUUUGAUACUAUUUAUCUUGAAUAUUGUGGAGGUAAGCGGAAUAUGUCAUGUAGCGGUGAAAUGCUUAGAUAUGACAUAGAACACCUAUUGCGAAGGCAGCUUACUACGCAUAUAUUGACGCUGAGGCACGAAAGCGUGGGGAUCAAACAGG
rnacentral:rRNA from 1 species